CGAACUCUGGUAUUGAUUGGUGCUUGCAUCAUGAUUUACAUUUGAGUGAGUGGCGAACUGGUGAGUAACACGUGGGAAACCUGCCCAGAAGCGGGGGAUAACACCUGGAAACAGAUGCUAAUACCGCAUAACAACUUGGACCGCAUGGUCCGAGCUUGAAAGAUGGCUUCGGCUAUCACUUUUGGAUGGUCCCGCGGCGUAUUAGCUAGAUGGUGGGGUAACGGCUCACCAUGGCAAUGAUACGUAGCCGACCUGAGAGGGUAAUCGGCCACAUUGGGACUGAGACACGGCCCAAACUCCUACGGGAGGCAGCAGUAGGGAAUCUUCCACAAUGGACGAAAGUCUGAUGGAGCAACGCCGCGUGAGUGAAGAAGGGUUUCGGCUCGUAAAACUCUGUUGUUAAAGAAGAACAUAUCUGAGAGUAACUGUUCAGGUAUUGACGGUAUUUAACCAGAAAGCCACGGCUAACUACGUGCCAGCAGCCGCGGUAAUACGUAGGUGGCAAGCGUUGUCCGGAUUUAUUGGGCGUAAAGCGAGCGCAGGCGGUUUUUUAAGUCUGAUG
rnacentral:rRNA from 1 species